GAUCAUGGCUCAGGAUGAACGCUAGCUACAGGCUUAACACAUGCAAGUCGAGGGGCAGCAUGGUCUUAGCUUGCUAAGGCCGAUGGCGACCGGCGCACGGGUGAGUAACACGUAUCCAACCUGCCGUCGUACUCUUGGACAGCCUUCUGAAAGGAAGAUUAAUACAAGAUGGCAUCAUGAGUUCACAUGUUCACAUGAUUAAAGGUAUUCCGGUAGACGAUGGGGA
rnacentral:rRNA from 1 species